rnacentral:misc_RNA from 1 species
GCAACUUACUUUGGAGGAAGCGGAAGAGAAGAUGAGGAACAGGAGAAAGACUGCAGAUGGAUACCAAAGAUGGAUGAUGAAAGCUGCAAAUAAUGGAGCUGCUGCAUUUGGUGAGGUGGAAAAGUUUGAANAGUUUGAUGAUAAAGAAAGUGGAACAUCUGGUGGAAGAGGACGUAAAAAAACAGGUGGUGAUGAUGAAGAAGGCAAUGUGUCCGACAGGGGAGAAGAAGAUGAAGAGGAGGAGGCAGCAAGGAAAAAUAG